CAAUCACUCAGGCCUCUACAGCCUGGCGUUGGGGCAUCUACAGUUAAGCGUAGGCCCUGAAAGAUAGUGGCGGUGUUCGCUAGCACUCCGGGCGCAGUACAUUCCUUGUCGCCUAGGACGUCUUGCGGGCUGCCGGCCGUAAAACAGCCUGAAGCUUAGAA
rnacentral:misc_RNA from 1 species